CUGGAACUUAACUAAUCAUUUUCCAGAUACAUUUUGCGCUUCAGAACAGCGCAUAGUACAAAUGCACGCUUAUAGCUUAAGUCAAAAGCGACAGAGUUUUCAGCGAUUUUGUUCUGCAAUUGGUUGAAUAAACUUUCCAUGAUCUGGGCUCCAAAAUGUUCCUUGAUGGGCUCCUCCAAGAUUGCUCUUAUGUGCAUAACACCUUCUCCAACUUCAGGACAGGGAAGUUCCAGGGCAUGCAUUCUUUCGAUGGUGAAACUCCCGUUUUUCGCAAUCAAAUCCUUGAAUUCUAUUGGAUUUGGGAAGUACAAUGGUAAGUUGAAGGAAUCCACUUUUUCUUCGCUCACCUUUCCCAUGUUGACUAGAUCCAUGAGGAUAGAUCCCAAAAGAUCAAGAACUGCAGUGAGAGCACAUUUAGUAUCUGGAGGAACACUUGUUAAGAGAAAAGCCAUAAGCCCUCCAGGAACAAGCUCUAGGGCUCUGGCUUUCAGAAAGGACUCCAGGUCCUUGGCAAACUGCAUGGUGUAAGCCUCAGCAACUUCCUUUGGAGAGUUUGUAAAAUAAACUUUCCCUUUGUUCCAAGCUGGAGAAACAGUGUCCUGGAGCUCAUCCGGCACCUUUGAGAGAUUUGCAAG
rnacentral:misc_RNA from 1 species